CCAGCCUGGGCAACAGAGCGAGAUCCUGUCUCUAAAAAUGAAAAUACCAGACCUGGACCAGUAUCUCUGCUUGUUCUUCUUCAAGGGCUACCCUAACCGAAGCCCCAUAAGGAGGUAGGAGGUGAAGCACCAUGUCAUCUUAACAGAAGACUGGGGUAUUUGGUAACUUCUCCUUCCUCCUUAAUGGAAGAACAGUCCUGGAACUCAGGUACCUAAGUAUUGGACAAGACUAUGCCAGAGAAAACCCAGUGCCAUUGAGAAGCAACAAGGUUUAUUGGCUAUUAGAGCAGAAAUCAGAAGACCUGGGAGAUUGGACAGCUACAGGCUGAGAAGGCACACUCAGAGAAUCAGCCCAGCUACAACCUAAUGGAAUAAAAAUGAGCUAAGAGGAAACAGGAGCAAGAAACAAAUGCAUUAAAGAGAGAGAGAAAAAAGAGAGCAAUAUUCUCUAAAAAUCAUCAUGUAUAUUUGUACACAAAAUACACAAAGCAAAUAGAUGUGAGGGCCCUUGGAAUUUAAUAUAUGGCUGUGUCCUGGUCAUUUCUCUGUCACAGAAAAAAAAUAAGCCCUUUCAAAGCCCUGGUCUGAAGGAAGAGCUAACAUCAAACAACCUCAGAAUAACCAGGAGAUUAAAGCCUGACGCUAUUCAACUUCCUGCCUUGUAACUAACUAAUCUCCUUAGAGAUGGAAGAAGACGAGGAGCCGCCAUUGUAUCAGAAAAGCUUUCCGGAUCAGAGGCAGCAGCAGCGUGGCGUAUUAAAAGGAGCACAGGACCAGGAGUAAGAGGACUUGCACUGCUGCCCCUCCUAGGUCAGCCCCCCAGAAUCCUGUGCAGCCCACACGUCCCCUCUCUAGAGGUUAACUCGAUGGCCAUCCCCCCACACGGCUCCCCUGCUCAGCACACCUGGGAGUAGCCUUUGACACAGUCAGCG
rnacentral:lncRNA from 10 species